UUGUGAAAUCCACCCCAGGUAUAGUGGCAUCCCACAACAGUGUCGUGAGGUCAAUGACAUCGCGGAAAACAAAUAUCCGCAAGGAAGGACCUAAGGUAGCGUAGAAAAGGAAAUAAAAACACUGUAAUAUAUUUACCCAAUGAUCGGCUGUUCUGACACUUUGAUCAAUCCAUACUCGUUUAUGUUUUAGUAGCCUAUAACGCUUACCGGUACUUAGCGAAUCGCACCACAAUAGGUCUACUUUCAAAUUAAAACUAAAGUAAGAAGAUGGAACUUUAAAUAAAUAGUAAAUCUGCGGGUAAAACAUGUGUAAUAUAAAUCUCUUUUGAGUGAGUGUUGGCUCUGAAAAGAGACCAAACCAGCUCUUUUCAGAGCCAUCACUGAUUCAUAAGACAUGUACAAAUGGUUGUACCCGCAAGUUUACUAUUUAUUUUAGCCUUUCUUCAUAUUUCCCCAAACAAUGCAAAGCUUCAAACAAUACUUGAAACGAAAGACCACAGUCACGGCCGAUUUUCUACCUUCCGCCCAUGGUAGUAGGCCUAUAGUUAAAAACGCAGGCAGUUCUUUUCAGAACUGAGAAGUCUCCCGAACCAAAACAUCUAAAACUCCGCGGUAGAAUGUAAAGCAUGACAGUUCUCAAAAGAACCGUGAUUGAUCGGUGUCCGCCCGAUAGUCCGAAGGUCUCCGUAAUAGUCCGAAUGUUGAAGGUUCAAUAGUCCGCCGAAGGUUCGGUAGCCCGAACGCACAAAUUUCCCAUAACAGGGCGUCGUUAAGUCCGAAAAUGAAAUAGGGUUCGUUAAUUUGAACAUUUGAUACGAAUGGUCUGCGGUAACACCACGUUAUGAUAAUCUCUAAAUGAGUUGGGGUGGUUUUGAAAAGAAUCAUUGGUUUCAACUCAUAAUUAAUAAUUGAAUAUGCAAGUAUUACACAAAAAUGAAUAUACACACAUGAUAUGUUACAGCAAACAUAAUAUUUAUUGAAACCUCACCAUGCAAUGACUCAAAUCCCCUAUUGUACUUUCAAAUUGUUUAGUGGAGCGACAUUGUUGACUUUCCCCAGGGGUUGUCUUUGAUACCUUUCCUUGAAUAUUUCUUGUUAAGCACUUUGUGGGGUGCGUCAAACUUUGUGGGGUACACCCAUCAUUGUCAAAAACACGCCACAAGUAUAGCCUUUUAUCCCAUAAAAACCACAUCACCAAAGUAAUGUCUUUCUAAUGAAACGGGUUAUUAACAGUGCUAUUAACAAUGUUAUUUUUAUUUGGAGUAAAGUCUACAGGAGCGCAUUAAAGGGGAUAAGGUCAGGAGUCCAAAGGGGUCCGAUGUUAACAACUCAAACUAUUGUUUAUGUAUUACGAGACUGCAAAUUGCUGAUUGAUCUAGAUUGAGGGUAGUUGAGUUAGCCGACUCAUCGUUUUCUAGUUUAUCUAUUGCUAUCUGAUUAACCUAAGUGGCUUAGUGUUAUGAAGGAGGAGUGUAUUGAUUAAGCCUCAAACUUUGACAUUGAUGCUGUAGGACCUAACACUGUGAAAAGGUCGUCCAGUUUUUGUUUAUUUAUUUUGUUGCGAUGCCUGGGAUUAUCAGAAAAGCAAACCUAAUUACUGUACUAGCCACUAACCAAAUGGAGAAGACAAGAAAGGAAGAUUCAGUUUUAGAUGUGGGAGAAACCCCAGAGAGAUAAUCUAAGGAAAACCCACACCAUCAGGAAAGGCUUGUAAACCCAAUCCACACAGUGCAUCCCCAGUGGGAUUCGAACCAUGGUCCUAAAGGUGGAAUUUGGGUGGAAAACCCCAAAGAAAGAAUCCAGCGAUAACCAGCACAAUCAGGAAUGGGCCUGUAAAUCCAAUCCACACAGUGCAUCCCCAGUGGGAUUCGAACCAUGGUCCCAAAGGUGGAAUUUGGGUGGAAAACCCCAGAGAAAGAAUCCAGCGAAAACCAGCACAAUCAGGAAUGGGCCUGUAAAUCCAAUCCACACAGUGCAUCGACCCCGGCUCCACAAAGCUGGAAGGUGAGACCACUCAAAUCAUGGGUGUGAUUUUUUUAAUGGCAACCUUUAGGCCUACUUGUUACGUCUCAAAUCAUGGGUGCACCUUUGGUUUAAUGGCAACCCAUUGCAAUAACGGAUCUCAAGUCAAGAAAUCCAGGUUUCUGAUGAUGGGGGGAAAAAUGCUCUCAAGAAAGCAAAAGGUGGCGGUGGGAGGCAUUGCUCUUCUUUUUGGUCAAUGUCAAUUUGAUUGCCGUGCUGGAAAACAAGACACCCACUGCUGUCUGUACCAUAAUAAUUUAAUAACAACGUGCAGCAAUGUUAAUCAGAUGGAUCAAAGAAUUUUUUAAACAAAAGUUACAAUGGAAUAAGUGCCGCCUGUACAAAAAAAACAUAAAACUGUGAGGUCAAACCAUCCCAAGAUGUAUUGAAACUCACCUACUAGGAAAAUGGUAAAAGGUGGUAUUAUUGACUCUCAAUAGACCAUAUUGAAUAUGACAUCACCGUUCAAAUAUCUGCCCAACACGAUGGCGCUACUGCGCGUGCAUGUGCCGCAGAAAUCAAACCGAAUACUGCAUGCUGUGUGGUUCAUUGAUGUACGCGUUUAGACGCGUAUACGGUUUGCCCUACAAGAUGGCAACUAUAUUCAAUACGGUCUUUAUCAGGCAGAAAGUGCUGUAAAUGCGGCAGGCUGUGCAACUGCUUGAACCGUUCCCAGUAACAUGGGAGUGAACAGAGGGAUGGGAAACUUCAUAAAGCAGAAGAAUUUUAAAAGAAUUCGCCCCUCCGGUAAACCAAAGUAUGAAAUUAAAAAGUGGUACUGAGGGCAAGUCAUUCCAUAAUACGUGUGUCAUAAUAAUGAUAAUAAUAAUAAAUAAGUGGAUUUUGAACCAAUUAAUGACCUCAAAUAUUAAACUGCCACCACAAAUUAUAUCAACUUUAUUGCCUUGUAGAAUUGUCAACACAGGGUUUGAUUUACAACUAAAGAUCUACAAAUAAAGACUGGCAUUGUAAAGUGCCUUAUUCACCGGUACAUACUGUGAGAUUAUUGACCACCGUCUCCAGGGUUGGCUGUAUAUUAAAUAUAAAAAAAACA